GAGUUUGAUCGUGGCUCAGAACGAACGCUGGCGGCAGGCUUAACACAUGCAAGUCGUACGAGAACGUCUCGCUUCGGCGAGGCUAGUAAAGUGGCGCACGGGUGAGUAACGCGUGGGUAAUCUACCCUUGGGUACGGAUAACGUCUCGAAAGGGCGCUAAUACCGUAUAAGACCACAGCAACCCCGGUUGCAGAGGUAAAGCGGGCCUCUACAUGUAAGCUCGCGCCUGAGGAUGAGCCCGCGUCCCAUUAGCUUGUUGGUGAGGUGACGGCUCACCAAGGCCGCGAUGGGUAGCUGGUCUGAGAGGAUGAUCAGCCACACUGGGACUGGAACACGGCCCAGACUCCUACGGGAGGCAGCAGUGAGGAAUCUUGCGCAAUGGGGGAAACCCUGACGCAGCCAUGCCGCGU
rnacentral:rRNA from 1 species